CUGUUCCAAAUUCCUACCUCAGCACAAAGGUUCUGGGUUGGCAUCAUGAAUGGUGGUCACAACUGUGCCCAGUACAGUGCCUGGGAUAUUGUCGGUGCUUCAUAAAUGUAUGCUGAUUGAUUGGUUGACCUGUAAAAUGAAGAAAUCAGACAAGCUGAUCUCUAGGUCCACUUCCUAUAGAUCAUGAGAGAGAGUAUGGUAUAAUGGAUGUGGCAUUGGAUUUGGAAUUAAGAAGGCCUGGAUUAAAAUCCUACCUCUGACACUGUGUGAUGCUGGCUGAUCCAUGAGCUCAUAGAAUCACAGAAUCUCAGAGUUGGAAAGGUCCACAGAAGCCAACUUAUUCUACCUGUACCUGAAAAUGAAUCUCCUUUAUGACAUUCCCAAGUGGUUAUCCAGCCCUUCCCUGAAGACCUCAUUCAAGAGUUUGAUGAGUAUACCAUCGAGGCCAUUGUCCAAAUCAUUGUUAAUAACGUCAACCAUCACCAAACACAGAUCCAUUCCUGUGGUUCUUUCCAAGGGGAAUUUGACUCAUUAAUGAGUUCUCUUUGGGUGUUGCCUUUCAACCAGCUAUGAAUCCAUCAGCCCAUACCAGUAUCUAAAUUUCAUCUCUCCAUCCUG